rnacentral:tRNA from 1 species
UUGGAUAAGAGAGUGACUUUUUUGCACGAAGUUUUUAAAUCUUAACCAUU